rnacentral:rRNA from 1 species
GUGGGGAAUUUUGGACAAUGGGCGAAAGCCUGAUCCAGCAAUGCCGCGUGCAGGAUGAAGGCCCUCGGGUUGUAAACUGCUUUUGUACGGAACGAAAAGCCUGGGGCUAAUAUCCCCGGGUCAUGACGGUACCGUAAGAAUAAGCACCGGCUAACUACGUGCCAGCAGCCGCGGUAAUACGUAGGGUGCAAGCGUUAAUCGGAAUUACUGGGCGUAAAGCGUGCGCAGGCGGUUUUGUAAGACAGUGGUGAAAUCCCCGGGCUCAACCUGGGAACUGCCAUUGGGACUGCAAGGCUAGAGUGCGGCAGAGGGGGAUGGAAUUCCGCGUGUAGCAGUGAAAUGCGUAGAUAUGCGGAGGAACACCGAUGGCGAAGGCAAUCCCCUGGGCCUGCACUGACGCUCAUGCACGAAAGCGUGGGGAGCAAACAGGAUUAGAAACCCGUGUAGUCC